rfam:Echinops telfairi cont1.739356, whole genome shotgun sequence.
UGUCCCCAUGGGGCGAGCGGCCUCGAGGUUUCUCAGGUCUGGCCGCCAUACCAGCCCGCCAACAACAGCGCACAACUUCUUGGGGCAUUCCAACGAGGCGCCCCCUA